GACGAACGCUGGCGGCGUGCCUAACACAUGCAAGUUGAGCGGGAAUGUAUCUUCAGAGAUUUCGAUUGACGAAGAUGCAGGAGAGCAGCGGACGGGUGAGUAACGCGUGAGCAAUCUGCCCUGUGGAGGGGGAUAGCCUCCGGAAACGGAGAUUAAUACCGCAUAACACUGCACUGUCGCAUGAUAGAGCAGUCAAAACUCAGGUGCCACAGGAUGAGCUCGCGUCUCAUUAGCUAGUUGGUAGGGUAAAAGCCUACCAAGGCGACGAUGAGUAGCCGACCUGAGAGGGUGAUCGGCCACACUGGGACUGAGACACGGCCCAGACUCCUACGGGAGGCAGCAGUGGGGAAUUUUGGACAAUGGGCGCAAGCCUGAUCCAGCCAUGCCGCGUGCAGGAUGAAGGCCUUCGGUUGUAAACUGCUUUGUACGGAACGAAAGACUCUGGUUAAUACCUGGGGUCCAUGACGGUACCGU
rnacentral:rRNA from 1 species